rnacentral:hammerhead_ribozyme from 1 species
AUCCGGCAGAAGAGUCCCAAAUACGACGAAAUGUGCAUCCUGGAU